CUCGGUCUAAUCUCACUCUGCGUAUAAUCUCGGUCUAAUCUCACUCUGUGCGUAUAAUCUUGUAUUAAUCUCACUGUGUGUGUAUAAUCUCGAUCUAAUCACACUGUGUGCGUAUAAUCUCGGUCUAAUCACCCUGCGUUCUUAUAAUCUCGGUCUAAUCUCACUCUGUGCGUGUAAUCUCGGUCUAAUCUCACUCUGUGCGUAUAAUCUCGGUCUAAUCACACUGCGUGCGUAUAAUC